rnacentral:tRNA from 1 species
GAGGAUAUAGCUCAGUGGUAGAGUAUGUGGUUAGCAUGCACAAGGUCUUGGGUUCAAUCCCCCGUACCUCCA